rnacentral:lncRNA from 1 species
AAUGACAAGUUCUUUGAAGUUUUUGCACCUAACUCACUUUUCUCUUGAUCCCUCUCUGAGGACAGGUUAAGGAAAUCAAAUUCUGUACCUGCUUCAGCAGUAGCAGGACUUCCUGCGUAAGUCUUAAUUUGUUCUGAGGUCAUGGGGAGGUUGAAUUUCCUUGGGAUUUCUCGGGACAAACAAGAAUGAGGGGAUUUCCUGGCACUACUUGAAACAAAAAAAAAAAAUCACUUCCAUUUUGUUCAAUGCUAGAUGACAGCUCUUCCUUUGUCCUACACAAGUUGUAAGUCUUAAUUUGUUCUGAGGUCAUGGGAAGGUUGAAUUUCCUUGGGAUUUCUCGGGACAAACAAGAAUGAGGGGAUUUCCUGGCACUACUUGAAACAAAAACAAAAUCACUUCCAUUUUGUUCAAUGCUAGAUGGAAGCUCUUCCAUUGUCCUACACAAGUUGCUAUUA